GACGAACGCUGGCGGCGUGCCUAACACAUGCAAGUUGAGCGAGUAGAUUUCCUUCGGGAAUGAAGCUAGCGGCGGACGGGUGAGUAACACGUGGGCAACCUGCCUCAUAGAGGGGAAUAGCCUCCCGAAAGGGAGAUUAAUACCGCAUAAGAUUGUAGCUUCGCAUGAAGUAGCAAUUAAAGGAGCAAUCCGCUAUGAGAUGGGCACGCGGCGCAUUAGCUAGUUGGUGAGGUAACGGCUAACCAAGGCGACGAUGCGUAGCCGACCUGAGAGGGUGAUCGGCCACAUUGGGACUGAGACACGGCCCAGACUCCUACGGGAGGCAGCAGUGGGGAAUAUUGCACAAUGGGGGAAACCCUGAUGCAGCAACGCCGCGUGAGUGAUGACGGCCUUCGGGUUGUAAAGCUCUGUCUUCAGGGACGAUAAUGACGGUACCUGAGGAGGAAGCCACGGCUAACUUCGUGCCAGCCGCCGCCGUAACAC
rnacentral:rRNA from 1 species